rnacentral:rRNA from 1 species
UACGUAGGUGACCAGCGUUGUCCGGAUUUAUUGGGCGUAAAGAGCGUGUAGGCGGCCAGGUAGGUCUGCUGUGAAAACUCGAGGCUUAACCUCGAGCUGUCGGCGGAAACCAUCUGGCUAGAGUCCGGAAGAGGAGAAUGGAAUUCCCGGUGUAGCGGUGAAAUGCGCAGAUAUCGGGAAGAACACCCGUGGCGAAGGCGGUUCUCUGGGACGGUACUGACGCUGAGACGCGAAAGCGUGGGAGCGAACA